CUUGGCGCUUCCGCAACUGACGCACCGCGCGCACAGUAUUGACAAGAAAAGAGUUGUGAAACUUUCUAUCUCGUAAGGAGUUAUGAACGUGAAAUAGUGACACAGACUGGCUACACCAUCUCAUCUGCAGCAGAGAUUGUUGUAUCAGAAGGACAGCGCGUUUGUUUGACGCACUUUUCACUUCAACUGUGUCUGACAGGAGAAUUAGCUUUCUGAGCCUUCUAGCCGUUGAGUUACCAUGGCAACCGCGUACACAUCAGCUGCUGGAGAGGAGAGGACUCGUCUGACAUUUUCUCUGUUUCUCGUCAGUUAUACCAAAGAAAAGGCCAACAACUGCGACAGAUUUGUUAAGUAACACGUUAAUAUCAUCCUCAGUCUACUUUAAGUACUUUUUGUUAAUAUUUAUACCUCUGCGAUUAUGGUAUUUUUCCUGAAAUGUCUGCUAUCAAGUAUUACGCUAGCAUAGAAACAUAAUUAACGUUAUAGCAUAUUAGAUUUGAGCUCUUAUUAAUGAAAGUUUGGCCUUUUAAUUACAUCUUAUGCCUAAAGGAUCGGUUUUGAUCGUUUUGUAAAUGUUUUUGAUGGUAAUUUGUCAAUAGAUAAAUGAAAUAAAGUUAAGCUAAUUAAUUUAACCUAAAAAUCUGCACUGUAGAGUCUAUCAGUGACGUCACUCGUGGUCUAAAAUGGGCUGAAACUAUUUCAAACCACUGUUUCAAGCUUGUUCUGAUUUAUCAUUGUAAACAAAUAUUGAUAAAAAAAAUUUCUUGUGAAAAAAAAAAAAAAAGUGUCUUAAAAACCCUCUAAAACAGAGAAGUUCCAAGAAAAUGUCUAACGGGAGCUGCUGACAGAGAUAGAAAACACAGUUUGUUUAUUUCUAAUAAGGAGCUGGAGGCCGUGAAGAUACAGAUCCAUGAUAUUGUGGAGAAGCAGGCCCAGCUGAGCGAGUGGAGAGCUGUGCUGGAAAUAUUCAUGGGUUGAUGCUCAUAAGUCCAGGUGUAAGACAUGAUCCAGGCCCUGGGCGACGACCUCUCUCCAUCCGCCGCCUCCGGUCUUUAGGAUCUCCACCAGAACCCGAUUCGCUCCACUUCGCGAGACAGAACAAAACGCUGUGAUCAUCAGAGACUCCAUCGUCCG